UUGGCUCAGGACCGGACGCUGGCGGCGUGCCUAAUACAUGCAAGUUGAACGCUUCUUUCUUAUCGAACUUCGGUUCACCAAGAAAGAAGAGUAGCGAACGGGUGAGUAACACGUGGGUAACCUGCCCAUCAGCGGGGGAUAACACUUGGAAACAGGUGCUAAUACCGCAUAAUACUUUUUCUCUCAUGAGUGAAAGUUGAAAGGCGCUUUUGCGUCACUGAUGGAUGGACCCGCGGUGCAUUAGCUAGUUGGUAGGGUAACGGCCUACCAAGGCNACGAUGCAUAGCCGACCUGAGAGGGUGAUCGGCCACACUGGACGAGACCG
rnacentral:rRNA from 1 species